GGAUGAACGCUGGCGGCGUGCCUAAUACAUGCAAGUCGAGCGGUAAGGUUCUACACCCAUUAUUUGACCAAGUAAGUCUUUCGGGAUACUGCUUGAGCGUUAAUCUCUAGGCUAGAGGUUAAUGUCGAAUACUGAGUGUAGAAUACACGAGCGGCGGACGGCGUGAGUAACACGUAGGAACGUACCCCAAACUGAGGGAUAAGCACCAGAAAUGGUGU
rnacentral:rRNA from 1 species